rnacentral:rRNA from 1 species
UACGUGAGGGUGCGAGCGUUAAUCGGAAUUACUGGGCGUAAAGCGUGCGCAGGCGGUUCGUUGUGUCGGCGGUGAAAGCCCCGGGCUCAACCUGGGAAUGGCCGUUGAAACUGGCGAACUGGAGUGUGGCAGAGGGGGGGUGGAAUUCCGCGUGUAGCAGUGAAAAUGCGUAGAGAUGCGGAGGAACACCGAUGGCGAAGGCAGCCCCCCUGGGCUGACACUGACGCUCAGGCACGAAAGCGUGGGGAGCAAACAGG